rnacentral:ribozyme from 1 species
AUAUCGAAGUUUUUAUAGGUCACAUGAAUCACAAAAAAAAAAAAAAAAAAAAAAA